UACGUAGGGGGCUAGCGUUGUCCGGAAUCAUUGGGCGGAAAGAGCGUGUAGGCGGCCCGGUAAGUCCGCUGUGAAAGUCGGGGGCUCAACCCUCGAAUGCCGGUGGAUACUGUCGGGCUAGAGUGCGGAAGAGGCGGGUGGAAUUCCUGGUGUAGCGGUGAAAUGCGCAGAUAUCAGGAGGAACACCGAUUGCGAAGGCAGCUCGCUGGGACGUAACUGACGCUGAGACGCGAAAGCGUGGGGAGCAAACAGG
rnacentral:rRNA from 1 species